AUGGACGAAGGUGAAGAUAAUUUCUGAUGUGGCAAACAGGCAAUCACUCCAUCUGACCACACACCCACUGGGAGCUGAUGGAGUGAUUGCCUGUUUGCCACAUCAGAAAUUAUCUUCACCUUCGUCCAUCUCAUCAUCUGAUUACUACUUUACUCUGACUGUGUAUACCAGGAAAAAUACUUCUACAUUGGUGAGAUCCACCCAUAUACAGCUACAUAUAGUGCACUAUAUUUUGGACUACCAGGACUCUUUUAUAUAUUGUUUUUUUUUUUUGUUUUUUUUCUUCUUUUCUUUUUUCUUUUUUUCUUUCCGUUUUUUUCACUGGAUUUGGGAUUUAAAUUUUUCAAUUUUUUUUUCUAUAUUUUUCAAUUUUUUCAAAUUUUCUCGAUUAUAAGGAUCAUUACCAAGUGUAUAUACAUUAGAUGAUCUUUACCCCACACACGGG